GACGUAGGGCGCAAGCGUUGUCCGGAUUUAUUGGGCGUAAAGAGCUCGUAGGCGGCUCGUUGCGUCGGCUGUGAAAACCCGCAGCUCAACUGUGGGCUUGCAGCCGAUACGGGCGGGCUGGAGUUCGGUAGGGGAGACUGGAAUUCCUGGUGUAGCGGUGAAAUGCGCAGAUAUCAGGAGGAACACCGGUGGCGAAGGCAGCUCGCUGGGACGUGACUGACGCUGAGACGCGAAAGCGUGGGGAGCAAACAGG
rnacentral:rRNA from 1 species